CCGCUUGAUGACGACGAGCUGAUCUCCUACAUCAUUGCUGGUCUCGAUCUUGACUACGAGCCGCUCGUCUCCGCGCUCGACGCCCAAACCUCACCAGUCUCCCUCGACGACCUGUUUUCUCAGAUGAGCAACUUCGACC
rfam:Hordeum vulgare subsp. vulgare, WGS project CAJW01000000 data, contig: morex_contig_51544